CGGGACGGGUGAGUAAUGCUUGGGAAUCUAGCUUAUGGAGGGGGAUAACUACGGGAAACUGUAGCUAAUACCGCGUAAUAUCGAAAGAUUAAAGUGUGGGACCUUCGGGCCACAUGCCAUAGGAUGAGCCCAGGUGGGAUUAGGUAGUUGGUGAGGUAAAGGCUCACCAAGCCGACGAUCUCUAGCUGGUCUGAGAGGAUGACCAGCCACACUGGGACUGAGACACGGCCCAG
rnacentral:rRNA from 1 species